GCAGAGAAGCAAAUCACACAUCCACGAGCCACCACGUCCAGUAGUACCCAUGGCCACCGCCUGCCGUCUCGCCGCGCCGCUCGGCCUCGCCCCGCUGCCCCGCGGCCGCCCGGCCGCCGCCGUCUUCAGGUGCUCCGGCAAGGUCGGUCCACGGAUCAGCGUGGCCGUGGUGAGGGCGGCGAACGGGACGUCCGGCGGCGAGGGCUCGGCGGAGACGCCGGAGAUCGUCAAGGCGGUGCAGGACGCGGCAGUGGGCAAAAGUUGAGGACAAGUACGCCGUGGCCACCAUCGGCUUCGCCAGCCUCGUCGGGCUCUGGACGGCCGUAGGGGCGCUUAAGGCCAUUGACAAGCUUCCAAUCUUGCCUGGUGUGUUUGAGCUUGUUGGAAUUGGCUACACAGGGUGGUUUGCAUACCGCAACCUCAUCUUCCAGCCUGACAGGGAAGCUCUGAUCAGCAAUAUCAAGAGCACCUACAAUGAAAUCACCGGUAACAGUAGCUAAUUAAGUAGCAUUUACGAGAUGACUUCAGUAAGCAGAGGAUGCCUCGAACUGCAUCAGCCAGCAACCAUUGAAAAUCAAGAAGACAUCUAACAUGGAUGCCGUUACUGUUCCUCUUGGCUUCAGGCAGAGCUAAAGUUUGCUGAUGAGCUGGUCCUCCACGUAAUCUGAAUUUCUAAUGUACAACUAUGAUAUAUUUCAGUUCCAUUUCCAGACGGCGACAUAAUGUCAUGGUCGAUGCGGGGUUGCAGAUAACAUUCUGUUGGCUCUUUGUACUUUUUUUUAUCAAUGCAAUUAUAUGAUCAUUCGAUAUCCGUUUAACCCCUAGUUCCCCGCUCUAAACGUGAAAGGCUUUUAUUACUGUAUAACAAUGCAAGUUUUUCUGAUGUCUUUCUGAGCUCUGUGAUGUCUUUUGCAUACUCAGGAAGGUAUGCAAUUAUGUAAGAAAAAUGUUAAUCAUCACUGCUAAUCCUGAAUAAACGUCUGCUUGUUUAGUUAUGUAACAGACCUAAAAGCUCCCAGUUUGUCUUCUACAAAGGACAUGCCUGUUAAGAUAUUACACCAAGAACACCAAACAGCGAUGGCGCCUCGAGAUAUUUGAAAGUCCCGCUGCUUUUGCUCCCUUCACUAUCUGUUUAUUUAACUCGGGAAUCAAACUGCGACACAUCAUCUGCUCCUUCCGCAAAAAUAUCCUCCUGAGUAUCUUACAAGCCUCAGAGGGAAGUUUUUUUCUCUCCGAAAAAUCCUCUUCGGAUCACAGGAUUUGAAAACGUUGUUAUAUAAAAAUACAUUUUGAAAAGUCAUGUAGUGAAUUUCUACGGGAUUCCAAAAUACAUGAAUUUUUGCAGCGUUGUCUUUGGAACUUUUUUUCAAAACAGGAAGUCUUGUUGUUACCCUAGCCUCUGGAUCAUAGAUGCAUAUAGCCAAACUUAUCACAAGUUUUGUCUUUGCAUCGCGCAGAUGAAAUGGAUACAUAGAUUUUACGCGAGUUAGGGGGAGAUGGAGAGCAAAUAGAGGUGGAAAGAAGAUGCAUUGGAUUUCCCAAGAAAAAAAAGUGGUACUCCCCACCCCA